CCGCCGGGCCGACCCCACGGUGAGGCCAUGUCGUCCGACUUCGAGAGCUACGAGCAGGACUUCGCCGUGCUGACGGCCGACAUCACCGGCAGGAUCGGCCGGGUGCCCAAGCUGCUCGGAGAUGAGAAGAAGCAGAUGGUUGCAAAUAUUGAGAAGCAGCUUGAAGAAGCAAGGGAACUGCUCGAGCAGAUGGAGCUGGAAGUUCGAGAGAUCCCACCUCAAAGUCGGGGAAUGUACAGCAGUCGAAUGAGAAGCUACAAACAAGAAAUGGGAAAACUUGAAGCUGAUUUUAAAAGGUCACGGAUCGCCUACAGUGAUGAGGUGCGGAAUGAGCUCCUAGGGGAUGACGGGAAUUCCUCAGAGAACCAGUUGAUAAAAUUACGUGAAGAGAGGGCACAUCUGCUCGAUAACACAGAGAGGCUGGAAAGGUCAUCUCGGAGACUAGAGGCUGGAUACCAAAUAGCAGUGGAAACCGAGCAGAUUGGACAGGAGAUGCUGGAAAACCUCAGCCAUGACAGAGAGAAGAUCCAGCGUGCUCGAGAAAGGCUUAGAGAAACAGAUGCAAACCUGGGGAAGAGCUCCAGGAUACUGACAGGGAUGUUGCGAAGAGUUAAGAGGAGGCUUCAGAAGGGAUUUAAAGGAGGAUAACAAGGCAGCUUUGUGGACAUGAAGAAGGAGCUCUACCCAAGCAUGAGGGCAACAGGGGAGAAAGCACAAAGAUCCUUGCUUGAAAAGGAUCAUCCAAAACCGAAUUUUGAUUGUUGUUCUGGCAGUCUUCGUCAUCCUCACCACCGCAGUGGCUAUUUUCUUUUCCAUCCACAGACGCUGAUAUCUUUGUUCUGCACUAAGCGGCAACAAACUGCUUGUUCUGAGUAAUUAAGACAAAGUGGUCACAUGAAUCAUUCUCUUGCACUGACAGAGUCUCCCUCUCUUUUCCACUAUUCAACUCAGGUGCAAGUGGUGUAAAAUACUUUGUAUUAUUGAUGGCAUAGUCGAUGGCAUGUGGCGUUGAUUAUUUUUCUUCUAUUUUUUUUUUUUUCUUUCUUUAUCUGAGUGUUUUUGGAAUCUUAAUAUUCGUUUGGGGGAGGGCUUGCUCCAGUAUCAAAAGGCCUAAUGUGUCCAAUUCUACCCCAGGCAAUUGGUAUGUAAGCUGCAAGAGUUUAGAGAGCUGAAGGGGAUCUUUGCACUUUUCUUGUGCUAUGUGGGGUGUAUGAAUAUCAAGCAGUACCAGACCUUAUGUGAUAUAGAAUAUAAGUAAAGCGCAGACCAACGAUGUAGAAAGUGAACCUGUCUCCUGUGAGUAACUACUGAUCAUGAAUCAUUGUAAUAGAUGUAACCUGGUUAGGAACGGUAGUUGUAAAAGAGAGCAACCUAGAAGAUGUGUGAUAUCUGAUGUGAAUCCAACACACUAUUUAACUUUCUUUUUUUUUUUUUUUUUUUAAAUUAAACUUUCUUUUCUGCUUCUUCAAAACAAUUCCGUUUUCAUCAAGAUCGUGAUAAAGCAUCUCUUGUUGAAAAUAUACUUGUGACCGCGGCCCAUAUGUUGAAUCUGUUUUGAAUCUUCCAGUGUUGAUAUAUGUGCUACCAAGUGUACAUGCCAGGCCUUUAUUAAAAGUGUAUAAAGGCAUUAAUCUAUUCAUUGUUGAUUAAACAGAGAUCCUAAAUAAUAGUUCUGUGACAUACACUUGAUUACCAUACGUCAACCCCAAAUCCAGAUUUUGCAUAUUGGCCUGUGUUGACACCAGGUGUUGAAAAUAUCUUCAGUCUAAUAAAUUCUGAUGUGAUAUUCCCCUGCUUAAACAGAAACUGUAAAAAUGUUCAUUUAUACAUGCCUUUAGCCAAUGCAGUAUGUCAAAGUUUCAUCUACCAGGUACCUGUGUGUAAAUGAAGAGCAGUUCUCGUUUCCUGAUGGCUCUGCCUCACCUAUAGCAAUGUCUGUGUCAUUUGAAGUACUGCUCCAGCAAGGAUCAUUUUUCUGGUGAUGUGGUAAUUUUCAUGAGAAUUUUACAAUUUAUUGUAGGUAAUCUCUUUCAAAUACUGCAAACUGAGAAGGAUUUUAACUUAAAAUCUUUUCCUGAAGGUGCUCAGUGAAACAAAAUCUGAUGGCUUUCAAAUUCCCUGAAAACUGAGUAGGGAGUGAGCACCUGAUCUUUGGGGUUUCAGCAUUUCUGCAGUCUCUGCCUAUGUGCUGUGCUGUCUCUGGGAUUGAUUUGGGGAUAAGCACCUGGGAGUUGAGUGGGGCCCUAAGUGCGUCCCAUCAUUCCUACACAGAAAUUAAUAACUCAGCUGAAAGGAUGUUGGUAUUGAUACAAGAGCUAAGAUUUAGAAGUGUGCUGAUAAAUGCAAAAUAAAAAGAACAGGAAGAAAAAUGGAACUCGUUGAAACAAGUUAAAGCAUGUGUGGUCAGAUGUGGGUUUUUGAAGUUUCAUUCAACUUGCAUCUCAGUUCCAAUGUGGUUUCUCUGCCAGGUUUCUCUACUUACUCAUGUCAAUGGCUGUAGGGUUGGGCUAGUACAAAAGUUCCUGGAUAGUCCAAAACCAUGUAUUUAUGUGGAAGAUGCUGCUCUGUACAGUGCUGCUUGGUCAUGUUCAGCUGCUUCUAUCUGCAGCUCAGCAACGCGGCAAGGCAGCGGGACCCCCUCAGCACCUACAGGUCUUCAUGUGAGACCUCCUCCUCUCAUAUUUGCAAGGUGUGGGGCAGGUAUCCCGUGACUCUCAAGCAUGAAAAGGUGCAGGCAUUGAGCACGGAGUGUGGAGGCUGCCUGACCUUUAGUCACAACAUAAAUUCAAAUAAAGAGUUUAAGGUUGUGUAGCUUCAGGUGAUGGCAAUGAGCUGAGUUCAGGCAAAUUAGGGAGAAGCCAAGCAGUGUUAGAAGGUAUUUAUCCUCUCCUAAGCAAAUUAGGAGUUGCAUAAUUUGUAAAACGGAAAACUGUCAGGAAGGGUACCUUAAGCUCCAUCUGUUGCCUAGACAUUUUCAGUGUUGCCUCAAUAAUUUAACUAUCAUGGGGAUUGAUUCAUGACUACUGAUCUUAACAGUGACCUAUGACUAGGUUUUGCCCUCCAUCUAGCCACCUGCUGGAAUCAGCAAAAAGCUGAAAGAAAACGAGUUUUCCUUAUCCCAGUAUAAAUCUAGGGCAUAGUGUCACAUCAGAUACAUCCACUCAGAUGGGAAUGAGGGAGAGAGAGAGUGUGCCACGUGAAGCCUUCAUCUUCACUUUUGAUGAACCUGCCAUUGCCAUGUUUCUUGUGCUAACCUGUUAAUAACUUCUCUGUGCCUGCUUUGCAUGUCCACAUACUCCCCAUGUGUAAAAUAUUGCUCGAGUGGAAGUUCCGCUCUGCAAAACACAACGGGGCUGUGCUCUGUCCUGUGUCCCUCCAGCACACGGGUGAGCUGUGCCAGCUGCCCUCGUGGUGGUGGGGAUGCAGUGACUUUGCUGCAGUGUGCAGGCUGCGGCACGGGAAGUGAGAUGCCCGCAGGUAGGGUGACAUCCCCUGGGCUUAGCCUCCCCCCGAACUGGUUUUGUCACAUCUACAGUGCAUCUGUGAAUGGAUACAAGUGCUUACGAGUGUAUACCUCAAAGAGUGAGAUGUUCCUGAGGUUGCCAGCCUUUGUUGGAAAAUGACAAAUUAAAAAGCGCGCACGUGGUGCUGUGUGCGGAAUUUGUCCUUGCUAAACAGCUGCACUUGCAGAAUAAAUAAACUAAUUCCAUGCUGAAACAAAAUCAAAAGCAAUUUAAUUAAAGACUCUUAAGUUUUAAAGGGUUUUAAAUGCUCUACAUUUUGGGGAAAUAUCAGAAAAUGUAGCUUGACUGACGUCAGUUCCCAUCUCUGGGAUGGGAGGCCAUUUGCUAUUCUGUUUAAGGCAGCCUGGAUUGUCUUAUUUUGGAGCCAGCUUGGUGGGGGGUUUUCUUUGCUGCUGCUUCAGAGCUCUGAGCUUCAAAGGCUGAAAUUAAUGGUGAACAAAAUUGUGCGGCUCUGACCAUCCCAUGCGGGGCAAACCCAUCGAGGGUUAUCAUUAAGUAAAGAAAUAAAGAAAAAAAAAACCUGCCAGUUCCAAAAAAAAAACCUCAUCA